CAGGAUGAACGCUGGCGGCGUGCUUAACACAUGCAAGUCGAACGGUGAAGCAGAGCUUGCUCUGUGGAUCAGUGGCGAACGGGUGAGUAACACGUGAGCAAUCUGCCCCUGACUCUGGGAUAAGCGCUGGAAACGGCGUCUAAUACCGGAUACGAGCUGCGACCGCAUGGUCAGUAGCUGGAAAGAAUUUCGGUCAGGGAUGAGCUCGCGGCCUAUCAGCUUGUUGGUGAGGUAAUGGCUCACCAAGGCGUCGACGGGUAGCCGGCCUGAGAGGGUGACCGGCCACACUGGGACUGAGACACGGCCCAGACUCCUACGGGAGGCAGCAGUGGGGAAUAUUGCACAAUGGGCGAAAGCCUGAUGCAGCAACGCCGCGUGAGGGAUGACGGCCUUCGGGUUGUAAACCUCUUUUAGCAGGGAAGAAGCGAAAGUGACGGUACCUGCAGAAAAAGCGCCGGCUAACUACGUGCCAGCAGCCGCGGUAAUACGUAGGGCGCAAGCGUUAUCCGGAAUUAUUGGGCGUAAAGAGCUCGUAGGCGGUCUGUCGCGUCUGCUGUGAAAACCCGAGGCUCAACCUCGGGCCUGCAGUGGGUACGGGCAGACUAGAGUGCGGUAGGGGAGAUUGGAAUUCCUGGUGUAGCGGUGGAAUGCGCAGAUAUCAGGAGGAACACCGAUGGCGAAGGCAGAUCUCUGGGCCGUAACUGACGCUGAGGAGCGAAAGGGUGGGGAGCAAACAGGCUUAGAUACCCUGGUAGUCCACCCCGUAAACGUUGGGAACUAGUUGUGGGGUCCAUUCCACGGAUUCCGUGACGCAGCUAACGCAUUAAGUUCCCCGCCUGGGGAGUACGGCCGCAAGGCUAAAACUCAAAGGAAUUGACGGGGACCCGCACAAGCGGCGGAGCAUGCGGAUUAAUUCGAUGCAACGCGAAGAACCUUACCAAGGCUUGACAUAUAGAGGAAACGUCUGGAAACAGUCGCCCCGCAAGGUCUCUAUACAGGUGGUGCAUGGUUGUCGUCAGCUCGUGUCGUGAGAUGUUGGGUUAAGUCCCGCAACGAGCGCAACCCUCGUUCUAUGUUGCCAGCACGUAAUGGUGGGAACUCAUGGGAUACUGCCGGGGUCAACUCGGAGGAAGGUGGGGAUGACGUCAAAUCAUCAUGCCCCUUAUGUCUUGGGCUUCACGCAUGCUACAAUGGCCGGUACAAAGGGCUGCAAUACCGUGAGGUGGAGCGAAUCCCAAAAAGCCGGUCCCAGUUCGGAUUGAGGUCUGCAACUCGACCUCAUGAAGUCGGAGUCGCUAGUAAUCGCAGAUCAGCAACGCUGCGGUGAAUACGUUCCCGGGUCUUGUACACACCGCCCGUCAAGUCAUGAAAGUCGGUAACACCUGAAGCCGGUGGCCCAACCCUUGUGGAGGGAGCCGUCGAAGGUGGGAUCGGUAAUUAGGACUAAGUCGU
rnacentral:rRNA from 2 species